rnacentral:rRNA from 1 species
AACGAACGCUGGCGGCAGGCUUAACACAUGCAAGUCGAGCGCCCCGCAAGGGGAGCGGCAGACGGGUGAGUAACGCGGGGGAACGUACCCUUUGCUACGGAAUAGCCCCGGGAAACUGGAAUUAAUACCGUAUGUGCCCUACGGGGGAAAGAUUUAUCGGCAAGGGGUCGGCCCGCGUUGGAUUAGCUAGUUGGUGGGGUAAUGGCCUACCAAGGGGAGGCUCCAUAGCUGGUUUGAGGGGAUGCUAAGCAACACUGGGACGGGGACACGGCCCAACCUCUAACGGGAGGAAGCGGAGGGGAAUAUUGGACAAUGGGGGAAAGCCUGAGCCAGCCAUGCGGCGUGAGUAAUGAAGGCCUUAGGGUUGUAACGCUCUUUCACCGGGAAAGAUAAUGACGGUAUCCGGAGAAGAAGCACUGGCAAACUUCGUGCCAGCAGCCGCCGUAACAC